AUUGAACGCUGGCGGCAUGCUUUACACAUGCAAGUCGAACGGUAACAGGUUAAGCUGACGAGUGGCGAACGGGUGAGUAAUGCAUCGGAACGUGCCCGAUCGUGGGGGGUAACGCAGCGAAAGCUGCGCUAAUACCGCAUACGAUCUGAGGAUGAAAGCGGGGGACCGUAAGGCCUCGCGCGAUCGGAGCGGCCGAUGUCAGAUUAGGUAGUUGGUGGGGUAAAGGCUCACCAAGCCAACGAUCUGUAGCUGGUCUGAGAGGACGACCAGCCACACUGGGACUGAGACACGGCCCAGACUCCUACGGGAGGCAGCAGUGGGGAAUUUUGGACAAUGGGCGAAAGCCUGAUCCAGCAAUGCCGCGUGCAGGAGGAAGGCCUUCGGGUUGUAAACUGCUUUUGUACGGAGCGAAAAGGUUCUCUCUAAUACAGAGGGCUCAUGACGGUACCGUAAGAAUAAGCACCGGCUAACUACGUGCCAGCCGCCGCGGUAAUAC
rnacentral:rRNA from 1 species